rnacentral:rRNA from 1 species
UAGGGAAUCUUCCACAAUGGACGAAAGUCUGAUGGAGCAACGCCGCGUGAGUGAAGAAGGGUUUCGGCUCGUAAAACUCUGUUGUUAAAGAAGAACAUAUCUGAGAGUAACUGUUCAGGUAUUGACGGUAUUAACCAGAAAGCCACGGCUAACUACGUGCUAG